CAACCCAGCCAACGAUUAAAACUUUAUUUAAAAUAAAUGUUUAAAAUUUCCGACCACUAUCUUAUUAAUAAGUUCGGUUUGCACUAUGCACUUUUUUGCAAAUUUCGACGUGGGUUUUGCGCAAAAAUACCGUGGACCGCGUAGC